GAAAUGCGACAAUUAAUGUGAAUUGCAGAAUUCAGUGAAUCAUCGAGUCUUUGAACGCACAUUGCGCCCCCUGGUAUUCCGGGGGGCAUGCCUGUCCGAGCGUCAUUGCUGCCCUCAAGCACGGCUUGUGUGUUGGGCUUCCGUCCCUGGCAACGGGGACGGGCCCAAAAGGCAGUGGCGGCACCAUGUCUGGUCCUCGAGCGUAUGGGGCUUUGUCACCCGCUCCCGUAGGUCCAGCUGGCAGCUAGCCUCGCAACCAAUCUUUUUAACCAGGUUGACCUCGGAUCAGGUAGGGAUACCCGCUGAACUUAAGC
rnacentral:misc_RNA from 1 species